AGUGAACGCUGGCGGUAGGCCUAGCACAUGCAAGUCGAACGGCAGCACAGUAAGAGCUUGCUCUUACGGGUGGCGAGUGGCGGACGGGUGAGGAAUACAUCGGAAUCUACUUUUUCGUGGGGGAUAAUGUAGGGAAACUUACGCUAAUACCGCAUACGACCUACGGGUGAAAGCAGGGGAUCUUCGGACCUUGCGCGAUUGAAUGAGCCGAUGUCGGAUUAGCUAGUUGGCGGGGUAAAGGCCCACCAAGGCGACGAUCCGUAGCUGGUCUGAGAGGAUGAUCAGCCACACUGGAACUGAGACACGGUCCAGACUCCUACGGGAGGCAGCAGUGGGGAAUAUUGGACAAUGGGCGCAAGCCUGAUCCAGCCAUACCGCGUGGGUGAAGAAGGCCUUCGGGUUGUAAAGCCCUUUUGUUGGGAAAGAAAAGCAGCAGGUUAAUACCCCGCUGUUCUGACGGUACCCAAAGAAUAAGCACCGGCUAACUUCGUG
rnacentral:rRNA from 1 species